AAAUGAAUAGACGGGGGCCCGCACAAGCAGUGGAGUAUGUGGUUUAAUUCGAAGCAACGCGAAAAACCUUACCAGGUCUUGACAUCCAACGACCGCCUAAGAGAUUAGGCUUUCCUUCGGGACGUUGAGACAGGUGGUGCAUGGUUGUCGUCAGCUCGUGUCGUGAGAUGUUGGGUUAAGUCCCGCAACGAGCGCAACCCUUAUUACUAGUUACUACGCAAGAGGACUCUAGUGAGACUGCCGUUGACAAAACGGAGGAAGGUGGGGAUGACGUCAAAUCAUCAUGCCCUUUAUGACCUGGGCUACACACGUACUACAAUGGCUAUUAACAGAGAGAAGCGAGACCGCAAGGUGGAGCAAACCUCAGAAAAAUAGUCUCAGUUCGGAUUGGGGGCUGCAACCCGCCCCCAUGAAGCCGGAAUUGCUAGUAAUCGCGGAUCAGCAUGCCGCGGUGAAUACGUUCCCGGGCCUUGUACACACCGCCCGU
rnacentral:rRNA from 1 species